rnacentral:rRNA from 1 species
AUGUUCGACCGCGGCAAGGGAGGGAAGGGUCCAGGCAAGGGCGGCGCAAAGCGCCACCGGAAGGUGCCGCACGACAACAUCCAGGGCAUCACCAAGCCGGCCAUCCGCCGUAUGGCUCGCUGGGGCAGCGUGAAGCACAUCUCGGGGCUCCUCUACGAGGAGACCCGCAGCAUGCUCAAGAUCUUUCUCAAGAAUGUCAUCCGCGACGCCGUCACCUACACCGAGCACGCCUGCCGCAAGACCGUCAUCGCCAUGGACAUCGUCUACGCGCUCAAGCGCCAGGGCCGCACCCUCUACGGCUUCGGCGGCUAG